UAAUACUCCAUAGAUAAGAGACACUGGAAUGUUCUUUAGUCGAAAGUUCUGGCGCCUUAGGAUGGAUCUGCGGUCGAUUAGGUUGUUGUUGGGGUAACGGCCCAACAAGCCUGUAAUCGAUACGGGUUGUGGGAGCAAGAGCCCGGAGAUGGAAUCUGAGACACGAUUCCAGGCCCUACGGGGCGCAGCAGGCGCGAAAACUUUACAAUGCAGGAAACUGUGAUAAGGGAACUCCGAGUGCCCGUAUACGCGGGCUGUCCAGGUGUUUAAAAAUCAUCUGAAGAAAGGGCCGGGCAAGACCGGUGCCAGCCGCCGCGGUAAUACCGGCGGCUCGAGUGGUGGCCACUAUUAUUGGGCUUAAAGCGUCCGUAGCUGGACCGAUAAGUCUCUUGGGAAAUCCGCCGGCUCAACCGGCGGGCGUCUAAGGGAUACUGUUAGUCUAGGGACCGGGAGAGGUGAGAGGUACUCCGGGGGUAGGAGUGAAAUCCUGUAAUCCCCGGGGGACCACCGAUGGCGAAGGCAUCUCACCAGAACGGCUCCGACAGUGAGGGACGAAAGCUGGAGGAGCGAACCGGAUUAGAUACCCGGGUAGUCCCAGCCGUAAACUAUGCGCGUUAGGUGU
rnacentral:rRNA from 1 species